AUGAUGUACAGAAUGAAUCUUCUACUUCAAACAGCAACCACACCAACAUCCAGGGCGGAUCAUUUAUUGCAACCAGUGGUGGAUCAAGUAGCCAGGGUGGUUGCAUUUGUCCUGAUGGAAGCAGUGGUAUUAGACAGGGUGGAUCUUCCGUAUAUGGUGGCAACAGUGGAUCUUACGGUCAGGGAUCCCCAGGUUCUUCACCCAGCACCUACUCUGGUAACCAGGUAAACAUUCUGA
rnacentral:lncRNA from 1 species